AAAAAAAAUUCGAUCUUUUUCAUUUUUAUUUCCUCUCCCUUGUUAGGGUUAGGGUUAGGGUUUCGAUUUCGCGUCCGCCUCUGAUUCGCUUGGUGCAGGUCGGGUCCGCCUCGAUCCGGCAUCCGGCGACGGCGAUGGCGGCGGAUCCCGCCUUGCAUCAACUGAAUCGGAGGCGGAUCAGCGAGUGGAUUGAUUAGGAUCCGGACGAUCGCAGUGCGUUCGACCUAUGGGCAAAUUUUUUUCUAGAGGCCAAAAUUCACGACGACUCUCAUAGCCUCUGGCACCUCUCCUGUGAUUUUCGACAUACUCCAGCCACUUCUCAUAGCCUCUGGCACCUACCUCAGUACUUCCUCUCACCUCCUUCACCGUGAGCUCUUCUUAGGGCAGUCCUCUCACCGCUCAGCUAUUCUUCUCGAAGACGAUGACUCUUUGACUCCUCCAGUCAUCUUCGGUGGCUCAGAGCAUCGGAGGAUCGCAGGAUGACGGAGUUAUUGCAUAGUCGCCGAAUCACAUGAGUUACUAGUAGAGACUCCACAGUAGAGUUAUUUUCAUUCGGACAUUAAAGUUUUUUUUCACAUUUUGUAAAGGCUAUGAGCCUUAGUUACAUUUUCAGUUGUUUCAUAUCGAGACAUAUUUAUUUAUUUCGGAUGUCGGAUGUAUUCCAGACUGUUCACUGAGACAUGAUUUAUUUAUG